GACGAACGCUGGCGGCGUGCUUAACACAUGCAAGUCGAACGAAGAGCGAUGGAAGCUUGCUUCUAUCAAUCUUAGUGGCGAACGGGUGAGUAACGCGUAAUCAACCUGCCCUUCAGAGGGGGACAACAGUUGGAAACGACUGCUAAUACCGCAUACGAUCUAACCUCGGCAUCGAGGAAAGAUGAAAGGUGGCCUCUAUGUAUAAGCUAUCACUGAAGGAGGGGAUUGCGUCUGAUUAGCUAGUUGGAGGGGUAACGGCCCACCAAGGCGAUGAUCAGUAGCCGGUCUGAGAGGAUGAACGGCCACAUUGGGACUGAGACACGGCCCAGACUCCUACGGGAGGCAGCAGGGGGGAAUCUUCCGCAAUGGACGAAAGUCUGACGGAGCAACGCCGCGGGAGUGAUGACGGCCUUCGGGUUGUAAAGCUCUGUUAAUCGGGACGAAAGGCCUUCUUGCGAAUAGUGAGAAGGAUUGACGGUACCGGAAUAGAAAGCCACGGCUAACUACGUG
rnacentral:rRNA from 1 species